UACGGGGGGAGCAAGCGUUGUUCGGAUUUACUGGGCGUAAAGGGCGCGUAGGCGGCGCAACAAGUCACUUGUGAAAUCUCCGGGCUUAACCCGGAGCGGUCAAGUGAUACUGUCGUGCUAGAGUGGCGGAAGGGGCUACUGGAAUUCUCGGUGUAGCGGUGAAAUGCGUAGAUAGUCGAGAGGAACACCCUGCGGCGAAGGCGGUCUGCUGGGCGAGUUUCUGACACUGGAGGCGCGACAGCGUGGGGAGCAAACAGG
rnacentral:rRNA from 1 species